rnacentral:tRNA from 1 species
GUUUUCGUGGUGUAAUGGUAGCACACUCCGCACGUAAUUGAGAGGUCCAGGUUCGAGUCCCAGCGAGGGCA